CCUCUUAUUUCAAAGGCUUCAUUAUUGGUCUUCUUCCUACAACCUCAGAGUAAAACAAACAAAAAAAAAAGCACACAAAUUCAGCCUCUCCACACCAAUGAGCAGAUUUUUUUUUUAAUUGGUCUCAAUGAGGAAAAUGAUGAAGAUAAGGAAGAAGGUUUACCUCACAGUGUGCUUAUUAAGUGCUUAUUUUGCUUUUCAGAGCUGCCCUCAUGGCAUGUGUAAGUUCCCAGGCUAGGGGUUGAAUCAGCUACAGCUGCUGGCCUACACCACAGCUCACAGCAACACCAGAUCCUUAACCAACUAAGCGAGUUCAGGGAUCAAACCCACAGCCUCAUGGAUACUAGUUGGAUUUUUUUCUGCUGUGCCACAAUGGGAACUCCCUAGGUGCUUACAAUUUUAAAAUUGGUAUCUUUUCUUACUGAGUAAAACUUUCAUCAUUAUUAAAUCUUUUCUAACUCUAGUAAUGCUUUUUGCCUUAUAUUUUACUGUCUGAUAGGAGUAUGGCUACACCGCUAUUAAUAUUUGCAUGAUACAUUUUUAUAAACGUCUACAUCUUUUGAGACAUUUUUCUUAUUCUAUAAAUGUAGUCACUGAUUUUUUAAAGUUGAACCAACUCUAUAUUCCUCUUAAUAUCUUGCUAGAUACAAUUAAGAUUUUUGCAUUCAUAUUCAUGAGAUUGUGCCAUAAUUAUCUCAUUGCUGAAUUAUCAAGAUUAUAUUGGCCUCAUAAAAUGAGCUAGUGUUCCCUUUUUCAAUUCUACUAAAAACUCUGCAAGACUUCUAUUAUUUUUGUUAUUUAGUAAAAUUCAUUGGCAAAGCCACGUGGGCCUAUGUGUGUGCAUAAGCUUUGAAGUUACAAAUUCAUUUCAAUAGAUAUCAGUUUUUUCUACUAUAUAUUAUACUUUUCUGCUUUUUUCCAGUUACACGUUGAAAUUCUCCAUCUUGGCUUUUAUGUCCUUGGGCUCAGUAAGCAUAUUUUAAAUUUUGUGUUGUUGCUGUUACUUUUAAUUCAUGUUGCCUUAUUUCCAUAAAUACCCUGUUAUUUUGUGAUGGAUAUCAAAUUUACAAGACUGUAAAAUACUUUGAGGUCUUGAAUUCUUAAUUUCUGUCCACCUCUACCUAUAGUAGGCCAUCAGAACUAUUGCUUAGCUGCCUGGCUACUUUGUCAAGAAUUCUCAAAAAACUCAAAGUGAAAAUGAUUCCAAACACAGGUUUAUCUACAUAGUCGUCUUUUCUUUCCAGACUCCUGGCUGCAGUGCUUCACUAGCUUUAGUUUUUUGAUGGCCUUCAAACUGAUUUUUUUGAAGAAAUUUUGUCCAUUUUCCUCCUAAGUAUCUACAUUGAAGAGUUGGUCCAAAUGACCUUACCUGGCAUUACUAUGAGUGGAAAUCCCUUCUUGUUGCUGUAGACAUUUAUAAUCUAACUAUAUAGGAACCCGACUUUCUAAGAUAAAGGUGGUUUAAGAAGGCUGAACAUAUGUUGGAACUACGGUUAAAAAAAAAAAAAAGGAAGUUCCCUUUUUGGCACAGCAGAAACAAAUCUGACUAAUAUCAGUGAAGAUAUGGGUUUUAUCCCUGGUCUCGCUCAGUGGGUUUAGGAUCUGGCGUUGCCAUGAGCUGUGGUGUAAGUCGCAGAUGUGGCUUGGAUCCUGCAUUGCUGUGGCUGUGACAUAGGCCAACAGGUGUAGCUCUGAUUAGACCCCUAGCCUGGAAACUUCACGAAGGCAGCCCUAAAAAGCAAGAAAAAAAAAGUGCGUGUGUAUAUAAAUUAAUGUUUUUUUUCCCUUUUAAAUUCCAUCUGAAUGUUAUGUUCACAUAAAAUGCUUGGUUUUUCUUUGAUGGCAAAACAGCUCUUACAUGCUGCAGUAAAGUCUUACAUGCUGCAGUAAAGUCAUUCAAAUGAGUGUUGCUUAAAUCAAAAGUAAUUAUCAAGCUGCUUUAUAACACGUUCUGUACUAUCAGAAGUUAAAAGUUGCAUGUACUUUCCAAACACACUGUAAUUCCAGCAGCACUUUUCAGGCCUUGAUUAAAUUGCAAGGGAAAUUUCUAUAUCUAAAAACCCAUUUAAUUGUGAAAUUUCCACAAAGUUCAAUUGGAAAUGAUUUGAGAUGCAAUGACAAAAAUUUUUGUCAAUGACAAUUUUGUGGACAUUUGUUUUCUCUAUAACAUUGAUUUUGGCCUCCUGGCCUACAAAGCUUAAAAUAUUUACCACCCGGUACUUUACAAGUUUGCCUCCCUACCCUAAUACUUCAAGGUAGUAGGACUUCCCUAUGAAUUAUUACUUAAGAGAAAUGAGAUGCCCUUUCCUCAAUCCAUUCUUCAUUGUCCUCUUCAGUUUCCUCUACAAAUACAUUUAUAUAGUUCCUGGGUUAUAUAAAAUCUGUAACAUGCAAUAUCAUCUGAUUCUGAGAUUUCUCACUUCGAAAACAGAUUUUCUUUCAUUUAUGAAUUCUGAUAUAUGCUAGCAACUGAUUCCAAGGCCUUUCCCAGCUGGCGCAUUAACAGUACCUCAAGCAUGAUUACUCUGGUCAUAUUCAAUUUGUUGGGGAAAGCCCCUGCCGCCCCGCCGCUCCCUGCCCCACUGGAUUCCAUGCUGCUGUGGUGCUUUCCUAGAAGAGUUACCAUAGUCAGUACAUUCACAAGACUUCUGCCUAGUAUAGGUUCUGUGACAUGUAUUUAAAACCUGUCUCCAUGAAGGCUUAUUCGGCACAAAUAUAAUUUUUCAUUACAGUGAGUUUUCUGACAUUUAAUCUAGCACUUAGUGUUUUCUCACAUAUGGUUUCACUCUGAAUUUUUUUAUACACUUGGAGUUGUGACUCGGGAAGUGAAGUACAUAAUCACUGCAUUCAAAGUUGAUCCCCAGUAAGAAUUCUGAUGUGCAAUUGUACUAUUAUUACUGUGUAAAUUACCCCCAAAUUCAAAAGCUUAAACUAAUACUUAGUACAUUUCUGAGGUACAGGAGUCUGGGAAUGGCUUGGCUGGAUAGGUCUGGUUCAGGUUCUCUUGCGAUGUUUCAUUCAAGGUGUCACAUGGUGUAGGUAAUUGAGCUUCUAAGAUCAUUCACAUGAUUGUUGGUAAACCUUAGCUCCUUUAGUUGCUGGCUGGACUUCAAUUCCUCACUGAGACUACCACAGGUCUACUCACAAUAUGACAAUUUGCUUUUCAGAAGCCAGAGAAUAGAGGAGGAUAUGCCUAAGAGAAAAAAAAACAUCUUCUAUAAUCUUAUCUUGUACCUAACAUACCUUCAUUUUGCUGUUUGCUAUUGGUCACAUAAGACCAAUUUUGAUAAAAUAAAGUAAGGGAUCAUGUGAAGAUAUGAAUACUAGGAGCAAAGAUUAUUGGGAGUCAUCUUGGAGGCUAUCAUCCAAUAAGCAAGUGUGAUUUGUGGCUGAUAGCCUUUCCACACUCAGUAUAUGUCUCUCUCCAGUAGAAAUUCUGGUGUACACUGAGGUACAGGUUCUAAGCAAAGGCUUUUCUAUAGUCACUCCCUUCAUAUGGCUUCUUAACAAUGCAAAAUUACUCUAAGUCAGUGAAUCAAGACUGACCUACAGGUAAAGGCCUUUUAAAAUUUUAUACAUUCCUAGGUCUCUCUCUGACUUGGAAGAAUUUCCCAGUUAGUAUGUUUAUCUCCAGUAUAAAUUCUCUGAGGUUCAAUUUUGACUUCUAAAUGAAAGCCUGCUCACAUUCAGCACGUAUAAUUUCUCUUAGAUAUGAAUUCUUCACAGGGGCUGGAGUACUAACUGGUGGAUGAGGUCUUUCUUACUUCAUUCACCUUAGCUAUUAUAUUCUCAACCCUUCUAUAGGAGCCUGAAAGUAGUUGGGCUAUCUUUAAAUUCCAGAAUUGCUGAAAGAGGCUGGCUAGUUUCAGUAAAGGAUCCUAGAAAGUUUUCAACUGAGAACUCAGAUUUUUAUUUCUUCAUCUUGAAAGACAGCAAGGGAUUCAGCUCUGUCGGAAAAUUUCAGUUUUGGCCUCACUAAGCUUCAACAUUUAAUAAAUAUCUUGACAGGAAGAUUGGCUAUUCUUUUGAACCUCCAAUUUUGUAACUCCAACCCAAUGCAAUCACUAAAAGCAUAGUUGAUUUUUUUCCUUAAUAUGGCCCUCUGCCUGGGCCAAAUCCAGAUCCCCAGACUGUGCCCUGAUUCUGCAAAGGAAUUCAGGAAGAU
rnacentral:lncRNA from 1 species